rnacentral:rRNA from 1 species
AGAGUUUGAUCCUGGCUCAGAAUCAACGCUGGCGGCGCGCUUAACACAUGCAAGUCGCACGAGAAAGCGGGAGCAAUCUCGCAAGUAAAGUGGCGUACGGGUGAGUAACACGUGGGUAAUCUACCUUUUAGUGGGGAAUAACGCUGGGAAACCGGCGCUAAUACCGCAUAAUCUCGAGAGAGGAAAGCAGCAAUGCGCUGAAAGAGGAGCCCGCGGCCGAUUAGCUAGUUGGUAGGGUAAAAGCCUACCAAGGCAUAGAUCGGUAGCCGGCCUGAGAGGGCACACGGCCACACUGGCACUGAAACACGGGCCAGACUCCUACGGGAGGCAGCAGUGGGGAAUCUUGCACAAUGGGGGCAACCCUGAUGCAGCGACGCCGCGUGAGCGAUGAAGCCCUUCGGGGUGUAAAGCUCUUUCGGCAGGGACGAUAAUGACGGUACCUGCAGAAGCAGCUGCGGCUAACUACGUGCCAGCAGCCGCGGUAAUACGUAGGCAGCGAGCGUUGUUCGGAGUUACUGGGCGUAAAGGGUGUGUAGGCGGUUUUCUAAGUUUGGUGUGAAAUCUCCCGGCUCAACCGGGAGGGUGCGCCGAAAACUGGGAGACUAGAGUGCGGGAUGGGAGAGUAGAAUUCCUGGUGUAGCGGUGAAAUGCGUAGAUAUCAGGAGGAAUACCGGUGGUGUAGACGGCUCUCUGGACCGCAACUGACGCUGAGACACGAAAGCGUGGGUAGCAAACAGGAUUAGAUACCCUAGUAGUCC